AUAUUAAAACCCAGAAAGCUCUUCCAUUGACCGGGGACACCACAGGAACUCUUUUUGCUUUGAACAGAUGCAGUGCCCUUCCUCUUUCUCGCUGCUGUUUCCCACUGAGCAUCUGCUGGGUUGAGCUGGUUGGUGGCCAUGGACAUGACUAAAUCCAGUGACCUUCGUGUGGUGAUGGAACACUUUCCCAAUGUAACUUCACUACAAAAGAAUGAAGUACCCAAACUCCUUAGCCAAGAAAGAUCAGUAUUUUGGUCAUGAGAUACGCCCUUGAGUGGAGCUCUCCUGCUCAGCUUGGCAACGCUUGACAGGGUGGUGAGCAAAGAGUUGACUGAUCCUCGUGUUUGCAAGAAUACUUCUGAUCUUAAUGCUGGAAUUGGUUAUUCCACUGUUAAUGGAACUAUAUUUAUUUGUAAUUACCUGAGUGCAUAACACAAUGGCCAAUGAGCAAAAGAGAUGCUAACGUUUAGGUUCACUAUGGUUUUCUCUUCUGUGGAAGGUAGACUGUAAUGGUGCCAGGACUC
rnacentral:lncRNA from 1 species